GCUUCAUCUAAAAAUCUUCUAUGGCCAAAAUAAAAAAGUAUAUACAACAUGGCAAAGAAAUACUGAAAAAGGCAUCUGAGAUUUGUGAAAUUGAAAAGAGAUUUAUUUCUUCUUAUCCUGUAAAGAUUUUUCCCAUCAAAAAGAUACUAGUCAGGUUAACUGAAACUUUUACACUUCAGUCACCAGUAGUCAUCACAUGAGCAUUUUCCAUUUUCAAACCGAUGAAACCUGUUAUUAUCUCUCACGAUUAUUACUCUUCCAGAGCACUGGGACAUAAACUUGAUUGCAGUGUGGCAAUCACCACAUAUCCGCAAAUUUUUCAUUACCCUAAUUGGCCUAUUGUCUCUGAAGGCAAUGAGCCCGAAUGCAACUGCCAGUCUUUCACUAUGGUACCUAAUUGUCAGCCUUUUCUCUUCACUAUCUACCUCUCGAAGUACAAAACUUGUGUCUGCUACAUAACCAGCUCUCUCCAUAUCUUCUUCCAAUUCCCCUAAUUUCUGAUGAAUUUCUUUGGUUCUCUCGUGAGACCUAUCCCCUGCAGCAAAGGUAUGAACCCUAUUACCUUCCUCAAUCCAACUCAAACCUGUCUCUUUUUUUACACCAUGAUCCCUAAGCAUCUUUCUGGCUCUGGCUGCAUCCUCGUAUCUUCCAGCAGCAGCAUAUGCAUUGGAUAACAGCACAUUCAUGCCUGAACUAACAGGCCCCAACUCAAAGAUUCUAUCAGCUGCAAAGGCUGCCAAUUCACUAUCCCCAUGGAGGCGGCACCCUGUAAGAAAAGCUCCCCACACAGAUUCUGUUGGCUCUAUGGGCAUUCCCUUAAUAGUUGCAAGUGCUUCCUGUAAUUUCCCAGCACGGCCAAGCAAGUCCACCAUAGAAGCAUAAUGCUGAGCCCCUGGCUCAAUCCCAUACUCCUUUAUAAGCCCAAAAUAGAACUUUCCUUUAUCAAUUAAUCCUGCAUGACUACAAGCAUAAAGCAAACAUAAAAAGGUAAUAAAAUUUGGUCUCAUCCUAACAAUUUUCAUUUUUUCAAACAAAUCAAAGACUUUCUCUGUAUGUGCAUGUUGAGCAGAAGAAAUCAACAUAGCAUUCCACAUCCCAAGAUUCUUAAUUGGGACCUCAUCAAAAACCCUAGAAGCUGCUUCAAUAACACCACAUCUUGAAUAUAAAGAAAUCAAAGAACUGCCCACAAAACUUGACGAAUCAUAACUUGUUUUGAAACACAAACCAUGCAUCUGCCUCCCUAGUUCAAGCAAUGUGGAAUUACCACAAACCCUAAUAACACUGGAAAAAGUAAAAUCAUUCACAUCCAAAUCCUCCAAUAAAGCUUCUUUGAAGAGUCUUAAAGCCUCCUCAUCUUCACCAAAUUGAGCAUACCCAUAAAUCAUCCCACUCCAAGAAACCACAUUCCUCUCUGGCAUUUGAUCAAACACUUUUCUCGCAUCCUUUAUCUCCCCACAUUUUGCGUACAUGUCAACCGUAGAACUCCCCACAAACACGUCAAAAUCAAGUCCAGUUUUAAUCACAAAACCAUGAACAGAUUUCCCAAUAUCACACCUACCCAAAAUUGCACAAGCUUUAGUAGCACUAGGGAAUAUACGGUCGUCAGGCCGGAUAUUAUCAACAAGCAUUCGACGAAAGUAUUCGAUGGCAAGACCAGGCAGCGCAUUUUGCGCUAAAGAGGAUAUUAAAGAGCUCCAGGUGGUGGAUGACUUCUGCUGAGCUUCCUCAAAAACUUGAAGGGAAAAAAGGGGCAACUCUGUCUUGGAAUAGAAGUUGAUGAGAUGGUGGGAGACUAGAGGGAUUGCUUGAAGGCCUGAUUUGAUGAUUUGGGCAUGAAGUUGAAGGCCAUUAAAAAGGGACCUUGAGUGGGUUUGAGAUAAAAGGAGGUCGCAAAUGUAUCUAUACUUUCCUUGAAAGGGUAACUGGUCUAGUUGAUUCUGUGGAGGCUUAUCGUUCUGUACAAGAGCAGAUUGGUUCAAGGGAUUUUGCAGGGGUUUUGGCUCUUGUUUGGGUUCAAUCAAAAUAUUCUGUAGGAGCUUGGAGAGAGUGGUGGGUGUCUCUAUAGUUCUCUUGGGGGCUUGGUGAAGCAUUACAGAGUGAAUUUUGCAGUUUAAAAUGGAGCAUCUCU
rnacentral:misc_RNA from 1 species